AGUAUUUGACUAUUUAGAUGACUGAAGAAGAUCUGGAUGAUCUACAUCUAGAUGAAGGAAUGUGCUUGAAUGACAUUUUCUGGACUUGGUCUUAAAUCCCACAGUAUGAAGGCAUGAUUAGAUGAGCCUAUGUAUUGGACCAAUGCAAAGCUGAAGUAUCCCAAGGCUUCACAGUGAUACGGUCUAUCAAGGAGUCUGUUAAGCUCUUUGGUGACUCGCUCACAGUUACAUCUUCCCCCACAGUGGUUCCUUUUGGUUGAAGACUGAUGUCACACAGAACAAAGACUUCUGAAUUACAUAUAAGAAGGUUCUACGGAAAUAAAUAAGAUGCAUUACUUUUGAAACAACUUAUGCAUGUGAUCCCCUGAAAGAUAGACUUACGACCCAUACCUUUGCAAUAUAGACCACACUGUGGUCUUCUCAUCUGAUGAAAUUUGAUAGAGGAAGGCCAUGAAGAUCCUACAAAGUUAAACUGAGGGAGAUGGUCUUGUUCAGUCUGGAGAAGAUAAAGCUUUGGGGAGAUCUCAUCAUGUCUUUCCAAUACGUAAAAGGGGCUUAUAAUCAGGAGGGAGACCAAUUCUUUACAUAGGUAGAUAGUUACAGGACAAGGUAGAACAGUUUUAAACUUAAAGAGGGGAAACUUAGAUAUUAGGAAGAAAUUUUUCACUCAGAGGGUGGUAAGGUGUUAGAACAGACUUCUUAGAGAAGCUGUGGAUGCCUGAGUCAUGGAGGUAUUCAAGGCCCGGUUGGACUGUGCUCUGAGCAACCUGAUCUAAUUCCUGAUUUAGUGGCUGCCAACCCUGAAAAUAGCAAGGGGGUUAUACACAGAUGAUCUUUGAUUUAUCUUCCAACCCAAACCACUUUAUAAUUCUAUGAUAUAGCUGGUUAUUUGUCAGGGGGAAACAAAUAUUUGCGUUAAUAAUCUUUUGUAAAAAUGUGUAUUGCAGUUUAAACCUCCAUGUCCUUGUUUAAAUAUGGUAUACUGUGAAUGGUGUGCAUACAUAGCACAUCACAUAUAUAUAAUCUACAUUUUUCAAAGCACAGUCAUAGCUCCUUCUAGGAGCUGCAGGUUUAAAAUAUUUCAGUAAAUAUUUACAGCAGCAAUUGAAAAGUUAGGUAGAGCAUUCCAGCAGUUAAAAUAAUUAGGUAAUUCCCAACUAGGAUGAUGCUAGAAAUGACCAAGCAUUGUGUAUGCUUAUAUUUUCACUCAUUGAGGAACUAAACUUUGAAAAGUAGGGGCUACCCAAGUCAUUCAGAACUAAAGGAGGGCUGUUAUUUUAAAAUGUGAAACCUUUUAUCUAAGUAAGCCAAUACGUAUCUAUUGUCACUGCUACAUCUUUGCUGCCGUGUACUGCUACUUUUAGUAGAAUUAGUAUUUUUUAUAUAGUGCUGUGCAGUCCCCUUGUUCUACUUUAAUGUCUAAAAGCUAGUCUGAAUGAGGACUUGAUAUACAAAAUCUUGGCUGAAUAAUUAACAAACAUAAAAGUUCCAAAUAUUCCAUGAAUUAGAACAUUCUGAUGCUUAAUAUCUGCUUGGAAUUUUUCUUUGUUCAUUUCUUUCUACAUGAAAAAUUUAAUUAUUGUACUUUUUUUUUUUUUUUCCCAAACAUUUUGUAAAAGAUGUUUCUGUGCUAUUACUAUUGCAGUAAUGAACUGUCAUCUCAAAAAUAUCAUGUUUUAUCAUUCAGACUGAUGAAAAAUGGCUGAACUUCUAAGCUUAGCAUGUAUAGUAAAUAGACCUUGCUAAAGAGCACAUCUAUAGCUAAAUUCACUGUGAAAUGGAUUGUAUGUAACUGGAUGUGAUCAGAAGAUAUGUACCAGUCUAUUUUAUGUAGACUACAGCAAAUUUACCUUUCUGUAAAAAUUAUGGCAUAUAGAUCCUGUCAUCUGAAUAGAUCAGUUUGUUGCCUCGGGAACCAGAACUUAUGCUUCAAAUCUACAGUUUCAAAGUU
rnacentral:lncRNA from 1 species